rnacentral:rRNA from 1 species
CAGGGAUUGCCUCAGUAACGGCGAGUGAAGCGGCAACAGCUCAAAUUUGAAAUCUGGCCGCAAGGUCCGAGUUGUAAUUUGUAGAGGAUGUUUCGGGUGUGGUCCAGUCUAAGUUCCUUGGAACAGGACGUCAUAGAGGGUGAGAAUCCCGUAUGUGACUGGGUGCCUAAUCCCAUGUGAAACUCCUUCAACGAGUCGAGUUGUUUGGGAAUGCAGCUCAAAAUGGGUGGUAAAUUUCAUCUAAAGCUAAAUAUUGGCCAGAGACCGAUAGCGCACAAGUAGAGUGAUCGAAAGAUGAAAAGCACUUUGGAAAGAGAGUUAAACAGUACGUGAAAUUGUUGAAAGGGAAGCGCUUGCAACCAGACUUGCACGCAGCUGAUCAUCCGGUGUUCUCACCGGUGCACUCGGUUGCGUUCAGGCCAGCAUCGGUUUUGGUGGUGGGAUAAAGGCCCUAGGAAUGUGGCUCCUCUCGGGGAGUGUUAUAGCCUAGGGUGCAAUGCCGCCUACCGGGACCGAGGACCGCGCUUCGGCUAGGAUGCUGGCGUAAUGGUUGUAAGCGACCCGUCUUGAAACACGGACCAAGGAGUCUAACAUCUAUGCGAGUGUUUGGGUGUCAAACCCAUACGCGUAAUGAAAGUGAACGGAGGUGAGAACCCUUAAGGGUGCAUCAUCGACCGAUCCUGAUGUCUUCGGAUGGAUUUGAGUAAGAGCAUAGCUGUUGGGACCCGAAAGAUGGUGAACUAUGCCUGAAUAGGGUGAAGCCAGAGGAAACUCUGGUGGAGGCUCGCAGCGGUUCUGACGUGCAAAUCGAUCGUCAAAUUUGGGUAUAGGGGCGAAAGACUAAUCGAACCAUCUAGUAGCUGGUUCCUG